GGGGAUGCCAGGCCUCGAUAGAUCAUUGAGACCCAGGGUGCAGGCCGAGGGCGCUUGGGACACCUCGUUAAAAACCCGCACAGCAAUAAGUGCAAACUUAUUCCGAAACGCCUUGAGCCCCGCUUACGCGGUGGCCUAACGGCGUCUUCCCCCGGUAGUAUCCGGGGGCAUCGGCGGACUGACGCUCGUGAGGUCCAUCACCGGUGUCACCCUUCGAGCUUGAGCCGCGGACUCCGGGACCGCAGCUGACCAAAACCGGAACCGGACGAGCGGCAUUUCGCUUAGUUUGAGCCGUUCGCUCCGCAAGCCCAACUAAGCUACGCCUGGAGAAACUCCGGAUCAACAUGGUCUACACGCGGGUUCAACUCCCGCCAUCUCCACAA
rnacentral:tmRNA from 1 species